UAACCCCCUCAGUAUGGUGACAAUUAUAAAACCUAAAGACCUCUCUCUCUCUUUAUUUAACGAAAUGUCAUUUUUAUUAAAGUUUUUAUUAUUAUACUAUAUCUGUGCAAACUAACGCUUUAAACUAAACGUCUACCUUUUUUAAACCUUCCUUAGAAUAUUUGAAUAGCCUAGUUAUAUCUUGCUCAGCUCCACAGAAGAUGCGGUAGGGGGAUGUUAACUUGCAAUGGCAACAACAAGAAGAUACAGAACAUGACAGAAAGUCUUAAAUCUCAACAGAACAGAAGGAACGCUUUGCAUGGAUUUACAUCUGCUACAUUACGCUUAAACUGGGAAACUUUUUUUCAGUGAUGGCAAAACUAAUACAUAACAAUUAUGUCAAUCUAUUUUUAAGUAUUUGAUUAAAUAGUCCAAGUAAAGAAUCAAAUAAAGACAAUUGUUUUGACAGGGUGGGGUGUAACUCGUUUGACAAAACGUUAAAGAAUGGCAAACCUUGCUGCUGUGGCUUGUGCAGUGCACCAGGAGGCGGGGAAUUUCUUAGAAGAAUAAUUUGCAGACCCUGUACCUUUAAACUCCAGAGAUGACAAUUUGGGUGUGUCUGAUGAUGAGACAAGGUUUCGGCUCAACAAAUUUUAAUUCUUUGUCAGGAGCUAGAUGGGGAAUUAAAGAGCCAAAUCUCACGAUUAUGCAGUGCCCAUUCUUGUAAAAAUGACCAGUGCCCUUGGAUGUGCCAUGAUGUUGUAUGGAUUUUGUAGAUAUGUGAAGUUCUCCGAAUCCAAUAAUUGUUUCAGAUGGAAUUGUACAAAAUACAGACUUUCUUGCUUGUGAUAAAACACCAGCAGAAUAGCCACCACCACUGCCAACACCUUCUCUAUGCGAUGUACUGAUUUCUUUAACCUCAUGUCUUUCAUCCUGUAAUGUCUUUUAACAAUCGAAGAUGCUUCGUUGUACAACCAAGACAGCAUUGACAUAUUCUGUUACAGUACCCAAGUUUUUUUUUCUCUGUGUUAUUAAUUCACUUUUUCCUCCAAACAAUUUUCUUCUUCUCUAAGACUAUUAACAGGGCUCCAGACAAACUUUUUGGUCGCCAAAUCCAAUUGUUGGGUGCCACUUUAAGAGCAAGUUGGUUGCUCCAUAUUUAUCUGCUUCAUCAUCAUCACCCCCUGACCAAACCUGAGGGUGCUACCAACUGCCAGAAGUGCUGGCAGAUGGUGGUUUCCCAAGUUGAGUGUGCUACGGGCCAUGCACGGAGGACCUGGUCCAGGUUGCCGGACUGUGUUUGGAACUAGGGGGCUGGUGAGACAUUCAGCCCCAGGUGGGGGCAAUGUAGUGAGUCAGACGAUGCCCUCACUGAAGCGUUGUCUAGUGGUCAAACCGGGGGCACAGCAGCGUGCUCUAGACUGUUGGGGAAUUCUUAUUGUUAGUUGAAUUCUGUUUGCUCUCCCUUGUUUCUAUGUGUUCUCAAUGUCUGUCUGUGUCAGUGUUUGGUGGCUGUUUGUGUUUGCUUCUAUGUAGUUCAUAGAAGGUUGUGUUCUCUGGUCUGUGUAGUGGGGUGAGCCCCCUCAACCCACUGUGUUCAAGCCUUUGCUCUCCUUUUUGUUGCUGUUUCCUGUUAGCAACAUUGCACUUUAGGAGCAGAGCCCUUCCUCAGAGGCUCUGGUUCUGAAUGGGGGUGUUGUCUAACAAAAGAGCACAUUUUUCCUAAGAGCAAUUCCAUUGAUCCUUGGCUUCACUAUUGACCCAGCAGGUGCUGACUUUUUAAAGAUUGCUACAAUAGUAACAUGGUUAAGUUAAAAACAAAAGAUUCCAUUUAUCCUUUAAAGAACAAGAUGUUAAAAAUGUAAAUCAUUUUAUCGUAAAUCACUUUUCUGGGUAUUUUAAAACACAAGGACUAAAAUAAAUCUUCCUAGUUCAAGGACUGUAACAUACAUGUAUCAGGUGAUGUAUCCUGUUCUAACAGUCAUUCUAGGUUUACUUUGAUUUGUGUCCAAUAGAAAUUGUGUAAGGAUUAUGCAUAAAAGGAAUUAUUAAAUGUUCUCUACAAGGAUUUGCAUGUUUGGAUUGGUAAAACUGUGCACUGGAGCAGUGUGGUUUCAGAAGACUGCAAGCCUGCCUGGAUACUCUGAAAAUGAGAAAGAUCCAAUUUUAGAUAGAUGUAUAGCAAUCUGUCAGUCUGUAUGAAUUCAGACUCAUUCCCUCCUAAAAUCCCAUUAGCUUUCUGUAUCACAAACAAACAGACACUAAAGGCUGCAUGUCAGUAUUUUUUUUAUUUAUUUUUUUCCUUGAACAAUCCAUCUAACAGCGCAUUCUAAAUUCUACCAGUGUACUCAUUUGCAUCUGAGAGGCAUGUGGAAGAGAAAGCAAAUAUUGAAUACUUUAUUUAUGCUUGGGAGUGCUGUUCAUACUUGUGCAUACUUUUUGAUUCUUUGUCAAUAUUUUGCAGCUAAUGCAUUCUAAGAAUUAAAAACCUCUGGCAUCAA